rnacentral:rRNA from 1 species
GAUGAACGCUGACGGCAUGCCUAAUACAUGCAAGUCGAACGAGAGGAAGGAAAGCUUGCUUUUCUGAAUCUAGUGGCGAACGGGUGAGUAACACGUAGGUAACCUGCCCAUGUGCCCGGGAUAACUUCUGGAAACGGAUGCUAAAACCGGAUAGGUAGCAGACAAGUAUUUGACUGCUACUAAAGUGGCUAAGGCCAUGAACAUGGAUGGACCUGCGGUGCAUUAGCUAGUUGGUGAGGUAACGGCCCACCAAGGCGACGAUGCAUAGCCGGCCUGAGAGGGCGGACGGCCACAUUGGGACUGAGACACGGCCCAAACUCCUACGGGAGGCAGCAGUAGGGAAUUUUCGUCAAUGGGGGGAACCCUGAACGAGCAAUGCCGCGUGAGUGAGGAAGGUCUUCGGAUCGUAAAGCUCUGUUGUAAGAGAAAAACGACAUUCAUAGGGAAUGAUGAGUGAGUGAUGGUAUCUUACCAGAAAGUCACGGCUAACUACGUGCCAGCAGCCGCCGUAA